rnacentral:rRNA from 1 species
UACGAAGGGGGGCUAGCGUUGCUCGGAAUCACUGGGCGUAAAGGGUGCGUAGGCGGGUCUUUUAAGUCAGGGGUGAAAUCCUGGAGCUCAACUCCAGAACUGCCUUUGAUACUGAGGAUCUUGAGUUCGGGAGAGGUGAGUGGAACUGCGAGUGUAGAGGUGAAAUUCGUAGAUAUUCGCAAGAACACCAGUGGCGAAGGCGGCUCACUGGCCCGGUACUGACGCUGAGGUGCGAAAGCGUGGGGAGCAAACAGG